UACGGAGGGUGCAACCGUUGCUCGGAAUCAUUGGGCGUAAAGCGCACGUAGGCGGUCCAGCAAGUCGGGUGUGAAAGCCCUCGGCUUAACCGAGGAAGUGCAUUCGAAACUACUGGGCUUGAAUACUGGAGAGGGUUGCGGAAUUCCCGGUGUAGAGGUGAAAUUCGUAGAUAUCGGGAGGAACACCAGUGGCGAAGGCGGCAACCUGGACAGAUAUUGACGCUGAGGUGCGAAAGCGUGGGGAGCAAACAGG
rnacentral:rRNA from 1 species